rnacentral:rRNA from 1 species
UACGAAGGGGGCUAGCGUUGUUCGGAUUUACUGGGCGUAAAGCGCACGUAGGCGGAUUGUUAAGUGAGGGGUGAAAUCCCAGGGCUCAACCCUGGAACUGCCUUUCAUACUGGCAAUCUCGAGUCCGGAAGAGGUGAGUGGAACUCCUAGUGUAGAGGUGGAAUUCGUAGAUAUUAGGAAGAACACCAGUGGCGAAGGCGGCUCACUGGUCCGGUACUGACGCUGAGGUGCGAAAGCGUGGGGAGCAAAC